GAUGUGAAAAAUGUUAAAUUUCGGAAAAUGUUGAAUCUAGGCGGGUUUUUUGGCUAGAUGGGGGAGAUACAGGUACAUAGAAAGAAAAACUGGAGCUUGAAUUUAGAGAGAUAA